rnacentral:lncRNA from 1 species
CAAAAUAUAUCGAGAACUUUUAUUUCAUCAAACUACAUAGAUGUCUUAUACGUACAUAUGAAAGUUUGAAACUGAUAUAGAGAGAUACAAUAGUUUGCACACAUAGAUACACGAAUCACCCUAUGCGACGACAACCAGCUGGCCUUUCCCGACGACCGGAGGGUGACAAGCGAUCAGGGGGUCUGUGUUCACGAAGACCACGGCUGUACUGUCCCUCGUGUUCCUGUGUCUGUGACUCAUGCAUAGGUGGUGGAGUCUGAAAUCUAUAUUGAGAUGAUGAUUCAAAAUUGUAGGUGAAUGGCUGUGACUUAGAAUUGAUAUAAGAUGGACCAAUAACGUCCCCCCCAAAAAAUCAUUUAGCAUUCCUGGGAGCGUGCAUUGAGUAGCAUGGGUUUCUGUGAGUAUUUCUUUGUGUACGCCACGAUGGGUUUCUUCAUCUCCCCAUGAUGGAC